AUACUCUGGUUUCUCUUCAGACUGUUUAAAUCUUUUGCCUUUUACUAAAGAUUUUCUUGGAGAGGAACAAUUCUGUAUAUGGUUAGAUUCCUAAAUUUCUGCGUAAAAAAUUUCUUUCCUC